rnacentral:rRNA from 1 species
GAUGAACGCUGGCGGCGUGCCUAAUACAUGCAAGUCGAGCGAACAGACGAGGAGCUUGCUCCUCUGACGUUAGCGGCGGACGGGUGAGUAACACGUGGAUAACCUACCUAUAAGACUGGGAUAACUUCGGGAAACCGGAGCUAAUACUGGAUAACAUGUUCAACCGCAUGGUUCAACAGUGAAAGACGGUCUUGCUGUCACUUAUAGAUGGAUCCGCGCCGCAUUAGCUAGUUGGUAAGGUAACGGCUUACCAAGGCAACGAUGCGUAGCCGACCUGAGAGGGUGAUCGGCCACACUGGAACUGAGACACGGUCCAGACUCCUACGGGAGGCAGCAGUAGGGAAUCUUCCGCAAUGGGCGAAAGCCUGACGGAGCAACGCCGCGUGAGUGAAGAAGGUCUUCGGAUCGUAAAACUCUGUUAUUAGGGAAGAACAAAUGUGUAAGUAACUAUGCACGUCUUGACGGUACCUAAUCAGAAAGCCACGGCUAACUACGUG